GAUGAACGCUGGCGGCGUGCUUAACACAUGCAAGUCGAACGGAGAAUUUAUUUCGGUAAAUUCUUAGUGGCGAACGGGUGAGUAACGCGUGGGCAACCUGCCCUUCAGAUGGGGACAACAUCCCGAAAGGGGUGCUAAUACCGAAUACGAUCACGCUGCCGCAUGGCGGUGUGAUGAAAGAUGGCCUCUAUUUAUAAGCUAUCGCUGAAGGAUGGGCCUGCGUCUGAUUAGCUAGUUGGUGGGGUAACGGCCGACCAAGGCGAUGAUCAGUAGCUGGUCUGACGGGAUGACGGGCCACAUUGGGACUGAAACACGGCCCCAACUCCUACGGGAGGCAGAAGUGGGGAAUAUUCCGCAAUGGACGAAAGUCUGACGGAGCAACGCCGCGUGAGUGAUGAAGGUUUUCGGACUGUAAAACUCUGUUGUUUAGGACGAAAGUGCCUGUUGCAAAUAGUUGCAGGUAUUGACGGUACUGAACGAGGAAGCCACGGCUAACUACGUGCCAGCAGCCGCCGUAA
rnacentral:rRNA from 1 species